rnacentral:rRNA from 1 species
UACAAUUGGCCAAACCUCCUUGUCAAAUCAUGAUCCCUCAGAUCUCAGGGCUGGGCCUGGUUAGUACUUGGAUGGGAGACCGCUGGGAAUAUCAGGUGCAGUCGCAA